rnacentral:tRNA from 1 species
GUGGUUAUAGCUCAGAGGUAGAGCGCUCACCUAGCACGUGAGGCCCUGGGUUCAAUCCUCAGUACCACA